AUGCGCACUUCGGCAGCACAUAUACUAAAAUUGGAACGACACAGAGAAGAUUAGCAUGGCCCCUGCACAAGGAUGACACGCAAAUUCAUGAAGCAUUCCAUAUUAAA
rnacentral:snRNA from 1 species